UGUAUUAAAAUUCAAAACUGCUUAAAAAUAAUUGUAAUAAUUUCGGUAUAGAUAAAUUAGAAUGCAAAGUGCUUCACGAGAUUAGACAAUAGUACUAGAUUUUGCAUUUUUGUUAAAUAAAACAGUGAGGCCGUUUUAUUCCCGGCGACGCUUUCCAACGUUAUUUUGUUCACUCCUGUUAAAAUAACCUUAUUUGAAACUGUAAUAAACAAACAAAAGUUAUUGUUGCUUUUCUAGUAUAGUAUUUUUUAAUAUUAAGGUAACGAAGCAUUUGAGAUAUCAAAUAAAUGAUCGGAAGUUCACUGUUUACUACUUUUAUAUGCAGUCUACAUCUCGCAACAUGUAUUUCCUACGACGAUAUGAUAAAAUUGUUUCACUUCCAAGAGGCCUAUCAGAUCCCGAAUCGAACUAGAGUUGUGGAUUUAGAGAAUAUGAGAGACUGCAAGUGUCCACGUGUGUAUUGGCCAGCAUGUGCAACUGACGGUAUCACCUACGUCAACGCGUGCAUUCUAAACUGUCUUCAGAAAAAAUUAAAACGCUUCGGACCCUGCAUUACGUAUAGACGAAAUGAUAGAUCGAUAUAUAUUUAUAUACCUAGUGAUUGGAAACGAAAUUAGGGGUGUUCUGAAAUCUGUAUAUUUAAGCUUUAAAAGUUGAAUAUGUGAUUCCCACGGAUUGAGUAUCCACCAUCGGCUAGGCGCGAAUUAAUGGCAUUUCCAUGUAGAUAUAUCGAAAACAGUUCACGCCUAUUUUAAAUCAUGAUUCGUAAGUACUUUUUUUCUGUCGCUUUUACUAUUUACUUAUGUUUAAUUGCUUUAUUAUGUUCCAUUAGUGUCGUCUAAGUAAUUUUACGUCUUAUGUAGUUUUGCACUUCGUGCGCUCACCUUAUCUUUUUCUUUUUUUGUUGCAUAGAGGAAUUCGCUCGAAGCAAUAAGGCAGCCACUUGCCCUCAUUUUUAUUUAAAUGUUACUGUAUCUUUACUGCAAGGAAAUGUAAAUAUAUAAAAAAAUUGAUAAAAAAAAACAGUAAAACCAACAUGUAUUUGGAAAUAACGUGCGGCUUGAUUAGUAGGACUUAUUCCGUUCCAUUUCUUCUACAAAAAAAUCACAUCCAACUGUUUAAGCAAGAGGAAAUAUUUCAUAAUUCAUAAUAUUUCAUACUUUCUAUAGUGAAGGUGUUGAAGAAGUUAAUAAAAAUGUUCUGUUUUU